rnacentral:ncRNA from 1 species
CACCGUGAUGCGGGGCCAGAAGGAAGCCCAGGACAAAAACCCUGUAUUGAAGAGCACAGACCGUGUACAAGCCAUUUUCUCCGGGGGGAGCCGGCCAACUGUGGCGAAGCCCGUCACUGCCAGGACGGUGGAGUGCGGAUGCGGCAGGCGUAGAGGG